rnacentral:lncRNA from 10 species
GUGGUGUCUUGUGGGAGUGGCGGUGCGAUCCCUCUCAGACUUGUGAGUCCCUGCUGGAGUCAGAAGUUUUAGGCGAAUCCCAGGCGCGCCAAGGAAAGUGCUACAAAAGCCAUCCAUCUUGCAAGCGUUGGUGCCGAGGCGCAACGCUGAGAACGCAAAUACUAAAGGGCGCUGUUCUUUCCUCGUGGAGCUCACAGUCCGCUGGGGAGACCGUGAGAUGACAGCAGAGAAACUAGCGCGAUCAGUAGUACUCAGCGCAAGGACAGCGAGCAGAGAAGGCAAACCUAGUGCUUGCUAAGGAAGACUUCACAGAGGAGGUAGUGUCAGGGCCGAGACUAGGAGAAGGAUUGUAAGUGACUAGAUUUUACUUUAUCCUUCUCGUUAACCAAAAUUAAUUUACCUCUCACCUUUUCUCCUGUUGUCGUCCCACCCCUAUCGAGGCAGUCACACCUUAAAAAAAAAAGGAGGGGUUAUUCCUGCUUUUGCCGUGCUGUGAUCCAGGGCAGAGCUCCAGGCUUCAUACGGUAAAACUCUCUGGGAAGGAAAGGAACUCAGAGUCCCAUGCAGAAAAUUGUUCAGCUGGAGGGGUAUCAGAAAGAUGGAUUUCCAAAGCCAACUGUUUCCUGUAGUGUGUGGAUCUCUGCAAGCAGAGCCUCAUCUUUCAAUUUCAGCUACAUGAAAGAGGAAGAAAGGGAAAGAUAUAUGUCAUACGUGAUAUACUUUAUGUGGCUUUGAAGACCCCUCUUUUGUGGGGCUACGGCUAAAGAACAUAGUUCCCUGGGAUGGAAUUGGCUCUUCCUAUUUCCCUACUUCAUGAAAACUCCAGUAGAAGACCUUAGAACCUUGUCCUGGUUACAUGGAUAUGUUUACUUUGUGAAAAUUCAUCAAGCACUAUGCACGGUCAUGAUUUGUACAUUUUUUUGUAAGAUAACUUCAUUAAAAUUUACUUUUUUUAUUUUUAAAAAGUGUUCACAUUAUUACCAGCAUCUCUUGGCUAAUGCAUAGUAUUCCCAUCUGGCAAGUGAUAUCAGGGAAUCAGAGACAGAAAUCAUAGGCUUAUAUUAGAUCUGGUUUUAGUUUUAGAAUCUAGAUAUGUAGUAGAGACAUCUAGGAGCCUACAGAAUACCUAUUUUUUCUUACUAACAAAAUCUUAAUUUCUUUUCAAGGCAGUAAUGCAGUCAGCUAAAAAGCCACAUUUUCCUGCUUCCCAUGCAGCUAGAGGUAGUCAUGACCAAUUGCCACCCAAUGAAAUGUAAACUAAAGUCAUUGGGUAGGACACCUGGAGAAGCCCUUUAUUUAGGGAAAGUCCUUUAAAGGGAACUGAAGUAGCAUGGCCCCUUUUUCCUUUUCCCCUUAUUGUUCUUUAUCUUGCCUGAAACAUGAAUAUGAUAGUAAGCUACGCUGGCUGUCUUGCAACUAUGAGGGAUAGAAACUGCAGGCUACAAUUGGUGGAGCACAAAGAUAGAUUUUGGGUCCCUGAUGACAUUGUGGAGCUGCGGUACGAGCCCUGGACUUUUCAUUAGAUGAGAAAAAACUAAUUUGUUUAAACCACUGUCUUUCAAGUCAAGUUACUUGCAAUUCAUAA